GACGAACGCUGGCGGCGUGCUUAACACAUGCAAGUCGAACGGAAAGGCCUGCUUUCCCUUGUGGAUUGCGGGUGCUCGAGUGGCGAACGGGUGAGUAACACGUGAGUGAUCUGCCCCCAACUUGGGUAUAAGCCUGGGAAACUGGGUCUAAUUCCCGAUAGGACUGCAGGGUGGUGCCUGUGGUGGAAAACGAUUUUCUAGUGGUUGGGGAUGAGCUCGCGGCCUAUCAGCUUGUUGGUGGGGUAAUGGCCUACCAAGGCGGCGACGGGUAGCCGGCCUGAGAGGGGGGACGGCCACAUUGGGACUGAGAUACGGCCCAGACUCCUACGGGAGGCAGCAGUGGGGAAUAUUGCACAAUGGGCGGAAGCCUGAUGCAGCGACGCCGCGUGGGGGAUGACGGCCUUCGGGUUGUAAACUCCUUUCGACCGCGAGGAAGCCACCUGGUUGGAAGGGUGGUGACGGUAGUGGUAGAAGAAGCACCGGCUAACUACGUG
rnacentral:rRNA from 1 species